rnacentral:rRNA from 1 species
GAUGAACGCUGGCGGCGUGCCUAAUACAUGCCAGUCGAGCGAACAGACGAGGAGCUUGCUCCUCUGACGUUAGCGGCGGACGGGUGAGUAACACGUGGAUAACCUACCUAUAAGACUGGGAUAACUUCGGGAAACCGGAGCUAAUACCGGAUAAUAUAUUGAACCGCAUGGUUCAAUAGUGAAAGACGGUUUUGCUGUCACUUAUAGAUGGAUCCGCGCCGCAUUAGCUAGUUGGUAAGGUAACGGCUUACCAAGGCAACGAUGCGUAGCCGACCUGAGAGGGUGAUCGGCCACACUGGAACUGAGACACGGUCCAGACUCCUACGGGAGGCAGCAGUAGGGAAUCUUACGCAAUGGGCGAAAGACUGACGGAGCAACGCCGCGUGAGUGAUGAAGGUCUUCGGAUCGUAAAACUCUGUUAUUAGGGAAGAACAAAUGUGUAAGUAACUAUGCACGUCUUGACGGUACCUAAUCAGAAAGCCACGGCUAACUACGUG